GGUCAAGUUAUUAAGGGUGCAGGGCGGAUGCCUUGGCACUAGGAGCCGAUGAAGGACGUGAUAAGCUGCGAUAAGCUUCGGGGAGUUGCACGUAAACUUUGAUCCGAAGAUUUCCGAAUGAGGAAACUCACUUAGAGUAAUGUCUAAGUAUCAUUAAGUGAAUACAUAGCUUAAUGAGGGGAACUCAGGGAACUGAAACAUCUAAGUACCUGAAGGAAGAGAAAGAAAUUCGAUUCCGUAAGUAGCGGCGAGCGAACGCGGAUUAGCCCAAACCAAUAAAGUUUUCUUUAUUGGGGUUGCGGACAUAUCAUAACGAAGAGGUAUCGUAAUUGAAGAGGUUUGGAAAGACCCACCAUAGAAGGUAAUAGUCCUGUAUGUUAAACGAGAAGACUUUAGAUAUGAUCCAGAGUACCACGGGACACGUGAAACCCUGUGGGAAGCAGGAGGGACCACCCUCCAAGGCUAAAUACUACCUAGUGACCGAUAGCGUAUAGUACCGUGAGGGAAAGGUGAAAAGAACCCCGGGAGGGGAGUGAAAUAGA
rnacentral:rRNA from 1 species